UACAGAGGGUGCAAGCGUUAAUCGGAAUUACUGGGCGUAAAGCGUGCGUAGACGGUUACAUAAGUCAGAUGUGAAAGCCCCGGGCUCAACCUGGGAAUUGCAUUUGAGACUGUGUAGCUAGGGUGCGGAAGAGGGAAGCGGAAUUUCCGGUGUAGCGGUGAAAUGCGCAGAUAUCAGGGGGAACACCGAUGGCGAAGGCAGGUCUCUGGGCCGAUACUGACGCUGAGGAGCGAAAGCGUGGGGAGCGAACAGG
rnacentral:rRNA from 1 species